GACCAGACUCCUACGGGAGGCAGCAGUGGGGAAUAUUGCACAAUGGGCGCAAGCCUGAUGCAGCCAUGCCGCGUGUAUGAAGAAGGCCUUCGGGUUGUAAAGUACUUUCAGUCGGGAGGAAGGUGUCAAGGUUAAUAACCUUGGCAAUUGACGUUACCGACAGAAGAAGCACCGGCUAACUCCGUGCCAGCAGCCGCGGUAAUACGGAGGGUGCAAGCGUUAAUCGGAAUUACUGGGCGUAAAGCGCACGCGGGCGGUUUGUUAAGUCAGAUGUGAAAUCCCCGGGCUCAAUCUGGGAACUGCAUCUGAUACUGGCAAGCUUGAGUCUCGUAGAGGGGGGUAGAAUUCCAGGUGUAGCGGUGAAAUGCGUAGAGAUCUGGAGGAAUACCGGUGGCGAAGGCGGCCCCCUGGACGAAGACUGACGCUCAGGGGCGAAAGCGUGGGGAGCAAACAGGAUUAGAUACCCCGGUACGU
rnacentral:rRNA from 1 species